rnacentral:lncRNA from 1 species
AGGUAUUGUGUAUUCUGAACAUGCUAGUAGCUGUCACUGUGCUGCGUUUGUUGAUCCAGUUUGCUCUACAACUAAUGUGACUCAUAAUAACGAAGGUUGCAUGAUGUGCACGUAAGUUUCUUAACAAAACAGAAAAAAAUACUAAUCCUUAACAUUUUUUAUUAGAUAAGAAUUAACACGAACCCCGUGGUUAGAGCAACGUAUAUUUUAAUGCAUGCAAGUGAUAAUUGAAUGCUACAUGAUUGUUGGUAAUUAUUGAAUACAGUACUACGCUGGUGAUAAUUGAACAUUGAAUAAAGAAAUUUCUCUUAAAAGUAAUAUACAAAUAUAUAUAAAUCUAGACAUCAAUGUUGAAUGGAACAUUGGAUCGAUCUAGUUAAGAUCAUAGAAAUCUGGUUGUCAACAACAUUAUACAUUCACGCAACUUCAUAGAAAAAGUUGCACAGCUUUAGCCGCAAAGGGAUCUCAUAUUGGAAAUUACAUUGUCUAUUUAUACAGAAUUGCAACCUAUAAACUGAAUCACUUUAAUACUAGUAACUGAAUAUUGCAUGCUUCUGAUAAGGAUCAUGCCUAAUAAUUGGUGUUCCCUGUCGGGGAACACGGUUUCGCUAAUGUGAUUUAAUAAGGGCUGUUUUCGUAACCUUGAUUUGUCUCUACCUUCAUUUCAUUUAUGAGAUUUGAAGAUUGCAUGGUUGAUUACUAUUGCUGAAAAUUCAAAACGUUUAUGAACGCUAAAUCAAACGCAAGUCAUUUUAUGGCAAAUUUUACUCAGCAAUAAAAUCUAUUUUAACAUGAGUUAAAAAUAAAUACCUCCCACCCCCACCACAACAAUAUCAUCUUUAAUAUUAGUAUCAUAAGCCCUCUUUCCAUCUUCAUUCAAAACAUUUUCCGAAAAAAUUUGCUUACUAUUCAAACGCUAAUAUUCGCGACUGGCUGCUUUCCGGCAAACCAUUUUAAGAUUGACAAAUAUGUUUGGAUGGUCACAUUGAUAAUGAAAUAAGAAAUAUCACUAAUAAAUAUUUUAUUGUUUAUCUGUUGUUUAUGGGUUAAAAAAACAUGCGCAUUAUUAUGCCAUGUUUGUGCAUUACUCUGUUUGUAAAUACAACUUAUAAAACAUAAGGUACUAUAUAUAUCGCAGAGUUUAUUUUAAGCUGGUUCAUUAAAAUUGAGAAGGAAAUGGGGAAUGUGUCAAAGUGACAACAACCCGACAAAGAGUUAACACAGCCGAAGUCCACCAAUGGGUCUUCAACACAUCAAGAAUAUAUCGCGGCCUGAAGCAGACUUUAGCUGGCCCUAAACAAAAAUGUGUAUUUGUUCAGUGAAAAUGCCGUGAUACUUUAAAACUUGUAAAACAUAUAAAUGAACCAAUGUUUUUAAAAAAAUAAAGAUAAGACUUACAUUGUCUCUCUCUUUGUAGUUGUUACAUGUUUCAUAUCACAUAACAAUUCAUAAACCUAUUGAACGUACUGCUGCAGUCACUAAUCUUUUGAAAAAAAUCAAACUGCUGAGGUUAAUAUCAGUGCAUAACUACGUUAUGUUCUCAGUAUUAUUACAAUUUAACGUAAAAAUAAAUUUGAAUCGGAAUCGUUAGAGAAAGGAUUUGUAGUAUCAUUAUCUAAAGACAACAAUGUAUGUUAUAAAAAUCAACAGUAUUUUUUUUCAAAACAUUUUCAAUGACCGUUUGGGAAGAACGAUAUCCAUAACAGAAGUGGAACAGUUAUAUUUGUUAUUUCAGUCACCAAGUUUUAGAUUGCCGUCGUGCUUGUCCAUGUGUGGGUGGACCACCAACAACAGUAAGUUUAAAUAAUUAUCGUGAAAUAUGUAUUAAAAUAAA